rnacentral:rRNA from 1 species
UACGGGGGGAGCAAGCGUUGUUCGGAUUUACUGGGCGUAAAGGGCGCGUAGGCGGUCACGACAAGUCAGUUGUGAAAUCUCCGGGCUUAACUCGGAACGGUCAACUGAUACUGUCGGACUAGAGUGCAGAAGGGGCAACUGGAAUUCUCGGUGUAGCGGUGAAAUGCGUAGAUAUCGAGAGGAACACCUGCGGCGAAGGCGGGUUGCUGGGCUGACACUGACGCUGAGGCGCGAAAGCGUGGGGAGCAAACAGG